UACGAAGGGUGCAAACGUUUGCUCGGAAUUAUUGGGCGUAAAGCGCACGUAGGCGGCUUUGUAAGUUAGAGGUGAAAGCCCAGGGCUUAACCCUGGAAUUGCCUUUAAGACUGCAUCGCUAGAAUCGUGGAGAGGUGAGUGGAAUUCCGAGUGUAGAGGUGAAAUUCGUAGAUAUUCGGAAGAACACCAGUGGCGAAGGCGACUAACUGGACAUGUAUUGACGCUGAGGUGCGAAAGCGUGGGGAGCAAACGGG
rnacentral:rRNA from 1 species